CCGGUACUGUGCACUGGAGGGUACCACCCUAUUUGCACUCCUGGACGCUGCACUCAUUUGAAUAAGGGAAACAGUAACAAGCAGCCAGAAAGUGGCGUAUGAAGGGUGGUGAGGUGCACACGCAGACUGAAAUAUACAAGCCUGCAUCGCAUCUGUUCUGCAAUCUCUUUUCAGCGUCAUUUCCUUCAGUUGGACUAUAAAGUUAUCCGCACAAAGCAGCAAUUUCAGAUACAAUGCCAGCAAAGUGCUGAGGACAAUGCAAUAAACAACAUUAUUGGUACCAGCGUGUACCAUGCAAAAACAAAAAGCAAUAUUCUUCAGGGUCUUGCUGGCUCUGAAUUUGUAUAAGAAAUCACACUGAAGAUUAGCUAGCUAAGUAUUCCAGACCUCCUGCUAAAGGCCUCUGUCAUAUUGAUGACCUAGGUCUAGUAAAAUCAUGACAAACCAGAUCUUUGGAUACAAUAAACAGCUCACAUUCGGUUCCGUGCUGCUUGGGGGGUCAUGCUGGUGGGUAUUUCUGAACAUUCAGGUGAUCCCUGAAACUUUCAGGAAACGUUUCCUGAGCUCUGGAAGUUUCGCACAUUCAUGCCAGAAGCACGUUUUUUGGCAUUUGAUGUUGUCCUCUUAAAAAAUUUGUCAUCCACUCAGGGAGCAGAACCAAAUGUCACGUGACCAGCGACACUACAAAUAGUCCAAAUGCACAAUUUACAAACAAUCCCCCAUUGUUACAGUUAUUCGUACAAACCAUUUCGUGCUAAUACUUACACCUUGGCCCAGUCUAGUGCCAACAACUGCUGACUGCAUCCACAGCUAACAGGACUGGCUCCCACAUGACUCCCAAUACUCAUAUCAGAAAAGGCAAAACCCUCUGAUUUCCAGCUGUGUGACUACAACACGACCAGCGUUGGUAUCACGGAGCGAUUGAAGAAGCUUGGUAAAUCACAGCAGUGAACGCUCGCCUUUGCUUAUCAAGAAUAAAUGAAAAAAAAAAAUUCCAGACAUACCAAAUGCUCCACCAGUCAAACAUUGAGAACUGGGUGUGUCUCCAAGGUGCUUAUUGUUAGCUCAGCAUUGGGGAAGUACGUGCAGCGCAGCAGAUCAGUACCCAGGAAAGGCAACUGGAGUGGGUAUAGGGAAAGAAUGCAGAAUCCGGCCCAUUAUGCGGUUAAUGUUGCACCCACACCUUGCACCGAGGGCACAGAAAACCCCAACUGCUGAGAAAUCAGCGGAGGUAGUUUCCACUACAUGGAAACAGUAAGCAUGCAAAAGCAGAUGCCAGGCUGUAAAUCUGGUCUGUGAAGCAACUGAAGGCCUCGUGACACAACCUGACAGGAUCCUGGCCAAGUUACACAGUCACGUAAAGCAUUUUUUUUCAAAACCCUGGGAAAUGAA